rnacentral:rRNA from 2 species
UUAAAUUGAAGAGUUUGAUCAUGGCUCAGAUUGAACGCUGGCGGCAGGCCUAACACAUGCAAGUCGAACGGUAACAGGAAGCAGCUUGCUGCUUUGCUGACGAGUGGCGGACGGGUGAGUAAUGUCUGGGAAACUGCCUGAUGGAGGGGGAUAACUACUGGAAACGGUGGCUAAUACCGCAUAACGUCGCAAGACCAAAGAGGGGGACCUUCGGGCCUCUUGCCAUCAGAUGUGCCCAGAUGGGAUUAGCUUGUUGGUGAGGUAACGGCUCACCAAGGCGACGAUCCCUAGCUGGUCUGAGAGGAUGACCAGCCACACUGGAACUGAGACACGGUCCAGACUCCUACGGGAGGCAGCAGUGGGGAAUAUUGCACAAUGGGCGCAAGCCUGAUGCAGCCAUGCCGCGUGUAUGAAGAAGGCCUUCGGGUUGUAAAGUACUUUCAGCGGGGAGGAAGGUGUUGUGGUUAAUAACCGCAGCAAUUGACGUUACCCGCAGAAGAAGCACCGGCUAACUCCGUGCCAGCAGCCGCGGUAAUACGGAGGGUGCAAGCGUUAAUCGGAAUUACUGGGCGUAAAGCGCACGCAGGCGGUCUGUCAAGUCGGAUGUGAAAUCCCCGGGCUCAACCUGGGAACUGCAUUCGAAACUGGCAGGCUUGAGUCUUGUAGAGGGGGGUAGAAUUCCAGGUGUAGCGGUGAAAUGCGUAGAGAUCUGGAGGAAUACCGGUGGCGAAGGCGGCCCCCUGGACAAAGACUGACGCUCAGGUGCGAAAGCGUGGGGAGCAAACAGGAUUAGAUACCCUGGUAGUCCACGCCGUAAACGAUGUCUACUUGGAGGUUGUGCCCUUGAGGCGUGGCUUCCGGAGCUAACGCGUUAAGUAGACCGCCUGGGGAGUACGGCCGCAAGGUUAAAACUCAAAUGAAUUGACGGGGGCCCGCACAAGCGGUGGAGCAUGUGGUUUAAUUCGAUGCAACGCGAAGAACCUUACCUGGUCUUGACAUCCACGGAAGUUUUCAGAGAUGAGAAUGUGCCUUCGGGAACCGUGAGACAGGUGCUGCAUGGCUGUCGUCAGCUCGUGUUGUGAAAUGUUGGGUUAAGUCCCGCAACGAGCGCAACCCUUAUCCUUUGUUGCCAGCGGUUAGGCCGGGAACUCAAAGGAGACUGCCAGUGAUAAACUGGAGGAAGGUGGGGAUGACGUCAAGUCAUCAUGGCCCUUACGACCAGGGCUACACACGUGCUACAAUGGCGCAUACAAAGAGAAGCGACCUCGCGAGAGCAAGCGGACCUCAUAAAGUGCGUCGUAGUCCGGAUUGGAGUCUGCAACUCGACUCCAUGAAGUCGGAAUCGCUAGUAAUCGUGGAUCAGAAUGCCACGGUGAAUACGUUCCCGGGCCUUGUACACACCGCCCGUCACACCAUGGGAGUGGGUUGCAAAAGAAGUAGGUAGCUUAACCUUCGGGAGGGCGCUUACCACUUUGUGAUUCAUGACUGGGGUGAAGUCGUAACAAGGUAACCGUAGGGGAACCUGCGGUUGGAUCACCUCCUUACCUUAAAGAAGC